rnacentral:rRNA from 1 species
AGGGAAUCUUCCGCAAUGGACGAAAGUCUGACGGAGCAACGCCGCGUGAGUGAUGAAGGUUUUCGGAUCGUAAAGCUCUGUUGCCAGGGAAGAACGUCCUGUAGAGUAACUGCUACAGGAGUGACGGUACCUGAGAAGAAAGCCCCGGCUAACUACGUGCCAGCAGCCGCGGUAAUACGUAGGGGGCGAGCGUUGUCCGGAAUUAUUGGGCGUAAAGCGCGCGCAGGCGGCUGUUUAAGUCUGGUGUUUAAUCCUGGGGCUCAACCCCGGGUCGCACUGGAAACUGGACAGCUUGAGUGCAGAAGAGGAGAGUGGAAUUCCACGUGUAGCGGCGAAAUGCGUAGAGAUGUGGAGGAACACCAGUGGCGAAGGCGACUCUCUGGGCUGUAACUGACGCUGAGGCGCGAAAGCGUGGGGAGCAAAC